GAUGAACGCUGGCUACAGGCUUAACACAUGCAAGUCGAGGGGAAACGACGGGGAAGCUUGCUUCCCCGGGCGUCGACCGGCGCACGGGUGAGUAACGCGUAUCCAACCUGCCUCUGACUGAGGGAUAACCCGUCGAAAGUCGGCCUAAUACCUCAUGGCAUCGUCUGCGGGCAUCCAACGACGAUUAAAGAUUUCAUCGGUCAGAGAUGGGGAUGCGUCUGAUUAGCUUGUUGGCGGGGUAACGGCCCACCAAGGCGACGAUCAGUAGGGGUUCUGAGAGGAAGGUCCCCCACAUUGGAACUGAGACACGGUCCAAACUCCUACGGGAGGCAGCAGUGAGGAAUAUUGGUCAAUGGGCGAGAGCCUGAACCAGCCAAGUAGCGUGCAGGAUGACGGCCCUAUGGGUUGUAAACUGCUUGUAUGCGGGGAUAAAGUGAGGGACGUGUCCUUCAUUGCAGGUACCGCAUGAAUAAGGACCGGCUAAUUCCGUG
rnacentral:rRNA from 1 species